UUCUCUCUCCUCUCCCCCGAUCUCUCUUCCUCCGGUUCGGCCAUUUUUCUUCUUCCAUCAAAUUCCGGCGAUUCCGGCCACCAACCGGCGUGCCACCGGUCACCAGAGGAGCGCCUCCUCCCUCCGAGCACCCUAGCAACCGGGGUUUGGGACGAUUUGGCCGGAAAACGCAGAUCGAAGCAAAAACCUCCUCCGGCUGCAGUUUGAUACUUUUGCCGAUUCCCGGCGAUUCCGGCCACCUCCGGUCCCCAUCUUUCUGUCGAAGUUAUGAAGACGUGAGGAGGAUUUCCUCGAGGAGGG
rnacentral:lncRNA from 1 species